rnacentral:tRNA from 2 species
GCACCCGUAGCUCAGCUGGAUAGAGUACUCGGCUACGAACCGAGCGGUCGGAGGUUCGAAUCCUCCCGGAUGCACCA